ACUGGUGCUCUCUAUCUGAUGCAGCCAGACUGAAGUAUGAGCAACACUGCCUGGGGGUGAGCAGUGCACACACUGCACCACUGUCCGGGGAGGCUCUGAGUCAGAGUCAAAGCAAAGGCCUGAGAGCUCCCAUCAGAGAGGUCCCAUCUCUUGGGCUGGGCUGGGUAUGUGGUGAAAAUGGAGGCAGGAGGGUGACUCGGAACCUGGACAGCAGUGAUGGGUCCCCAUCCAUGGACACUGGAAUUUAGGGUGGAAGACUGGCAUUUGGAAAGGCAGGCUGACUUCGCUGGACUGACAGCUGGACAGAGAGCUGGCUCGGCCUUCCUUGGUGUGGGAACUGCCUGGGAGACUCAGCAUAAAGGAGCAGAGGUGGAUCGCUCCUGCAGGCAUGUGGUUCCCAAAACAGAAAAGGGGACAGAAUAGUCACUGUGGGCCAAGGAGAACAAGGAGACAGCUGUAUAAAUGGAGGACAAGGAUAACAACGUAUUUGACAGAAUAACGGAUGGGAGAGACAGAAACACACAGUCAUGAAGAGGAGAGGUACUGGGCCACAUUCGUCUAUCUGCUAGAGGAAAAAAUGUCUGUUUAGGGACCAGACUGUUUACCAAAUCAGCUAAUGGAAAAAUACAGAAAGAUGCAGAAGGCUCUCUACUGGGCAUCUCUGGGAAGCACUAGAUGGGUGCUGAAAAGCCAAUUUUAGUGAAUGUCAAGGGCAAUGUGAUUUGGAAAGAGAGUUGUCACCCCACCUGAGUAAUGCUCAUGGACAAGACACGGGCAGAAGUGACAUCCAGUUUCCUCAUCCACGACUUCCUAAUCGAGCCUCUACUAUGUGCAGAUGCUUCAUGUGGGCAACAUGGAGUGAACUGGACAGACGAGUGCCUGCCCUCGGGAGCUUACAUUCUAGUUGGUCAGAAAGAAAACAGACAAGGAAAGAACCAACUGAAAGAAUAUAGCUGCAUAUUUGCAAUGUUCCUGGGAGAACCACUUGUUAUUGAGUGGUGGGGCCUGGGAGACAAUGGGUUGCAUUUCGGAAAAACCAUAGACAAGUUUCUUGCUCACUGGGGACAGAGCUCAGAGUUCUCAGUUCUCCACACAGGAUCUCCUUCCAAAAAGGAAGGGAUCUGCAGACUAUGUAUUAUGGUUAAGUAACCAGAUUGUAAACUGUCACAUGCAGCUCAUAAAACCAGCCUCGAGGUUGUGCAUCAUGGAUGGAGGAAGUCCAGGUUCACAUUCCAGAGUGACCACUGAUGUUUUGUGUUCAGCAACUGGGCUUCCCAUUUCACACCAGGGUUCUUUGUUUCAUAUGUUGACAUUCGAGAGAGGAUUCUUGGAAUUAACUGUGAUGUUUGCUUGAAUCUUGUUGAGAACAUGAAUCACACAGUUUCUCAAAGGUUAUUCUUUUUCAGAAGAAAAGUUAUUUCACAGGAAGGCAGGACCUCAGGAUUUUCCAGAGCCUGGAGUCUCCUUUGCUGGCACAGAGCUGAAUUGUCAUGGCUUGAAGAUUUUCAUUUCUUACUCAAUUUAUUGGAGCAAGCCUUACGCUUGACCAGCAUCGGCAAACAGAUAGGCGGGUGUUCAGCUGGGACCCUGCAGAGAUGACUGUAGAUUCCACCAAUGUCUCUCACAGAAGGAACUCCAGGUCCAGUCCCAGGAAGGCAGGGAGAGGAGGAACAGAAAAGGCAGGGAAGUUGUCAAUCAGCUCAGGACAAGGAAGCUGGGGAUGAGGGGCCAAGCUGGAGUCAGAGCUUCAGUGGGAGCUUCAUCCUCAGCUCUUGAUAGGGCCAGGGGUCUAAGAAAAACUAUUUUGCCAUGCUCACCUCUCAGCAUGGUGUGGUUGAUCAUGUCAGGAGCGCACACGAGCUGAGGAAUUCUGAAGCUGCCUGUCAUCAAAGGAGGUCCGUGGAGUAGGGAGUAAUCUGGUGGGCUUCCUGUUGGGCUGCUGGGUGUCACAUGCUUUGCCUGCAGCAGGGCAGCUCUCAUUGCUCUGGGAGAAUUUAGGGGCAUCAGGGAUGGUCACUGGGCUUCUCCCAGGAUUUCUGGGUUUUUCCUCUUUUCUGUUCUAUUCAGUUGCUGAUCUUUGCUUUUGCUUAAGGCCCUGAAGUGAAAUUGGAGUUGAGGUGAAUCUUGUCACAAAUUGAAUUAAGACCACACCUUCAUCCUUGUGAACAAACGUUGCAAUUCUGCAACUGUGGCGACUUGGAAGCAUUCAGGGCAUUCUGUUAGCUGCCUGGGAACUGAUUAUGCAUUGGCACAAAAAUCAAUAGCAGUGACUUGGAAUCAUUCUUUCCCCAUGAUUUUCUUCUUUUAAAACAUUGUGUUUUAAUUACAUUGUACAUACUCUGGAAAAUAUAACUCAAUUUUUAAAAUCACAUAUAAAUGACCACCUAGAGCUAACCACACAAGACUUUGCUACUUAGCAUUUUCUAUCAUCCAUCUAUUUGUAUUUUUAUUCAAAAAUGGAUCAUAGUUUACAUAUUAUUUUGUAACUGUAGACUAAUACUUGACAAGGAUUGCUUCUAGCAGUGGUUUAAUUAAUUCUGCCCCAAUUUGCUUAGUUACAGACAUAUUAUACUCAGUUGUAGAUCAGAAGAUGGUUCUUAGGAAGACUUUGAGGCAAAGAGGUAGAGUGGAUUAUUGGAAAAGGGUCACGACUCCCCACAAGAGAUUGGCCACCCUGUAAUGAACUAUUUGCGUUUGCAAAUACCUCUAUCUCUGAGAUCCUAGGGUCUCAUAGAGUCUUCUCAUUUCCUACUUACAUGUCUUUGUGGAAACCACAUCAUCGAUAGCAUUUUCAGGAUAAGCAACUAUUCCAGGAGACAAGUAUGGAGGUAACUGAAUAUACUUAUAUUUUCCCCUCUCUCUUUUUUAAUGUUGAGGACAUAGCAACAAAAUCUAUUGAUUUUGUGUAUGCUGACAUCAGUUGAUUAAAGUUAGCCAGUAAUCCUAAUCCACACUGUAAUGUGAUUCUUUGUUAGUCCUUUUCCCUGUCUCAAGUGUAUUUGAGCCUCAGAAAACCUCACGUUUAGGGGUCAACUUUUGCAGGCUUGUAGAUCCAAAGUCAGGCCCCUUGUGGGUUCUGGUCAACUUUCUGCAUCAGAAUAAUGAGCCUGAGAUGUAAGAGUUGGGGUUGGCAUAGAGGGACGAAGAGUGACUACAAUGAAUAACAAGGUCAAAACAGGCUUCCAAGGUUUCCAGAACCAACCAGCCUCGGGGCUCCAGUAAGUGAUUCACAUUCCCUUCCCCUUUGUUACAAAUGUUUCUCAUUGUUGAAUACCUUUGACUUGUUAGGGCUGAGCCCUUUUCUCUAAAUAGCUGACAGAUGAGUUGUCAGUCGAAAAAAAUCUUUAAUGAGAGAAAGUACUGUUGCCUGGCUUCAUGUUCUUAAAUUAUGAUGGUAUCUCCUGUCUAAUCAGGGCAGAAAGAACGAAAAUCUCGGAAAGUUUCUUGACAGGGGACUAAAUGGCAUGGCACACAGGUGCUCUUGUCGUGCCAAGUCAGAGUUCUUCUCCAAAUGCUCUGAGAUUGAGUCCGCUCUGCAAUUAACCUUCUCCCCUAGCUGUCACUACUACAUGUCACAUCCAGUCUAUGCUGUUAUCUGCUGUGUAUUUGUGCUGAAUGGCUUUCUAGAGGUGGUCCCAGGAAGAACGGUGCAAGCAUCCCAAAGCCCUCUGCUCUGAUGGGCAAUAAAUGAAAUAGCCAGCAUAUGCCCUAGAGAGGGCGAAAAAAGUCCAUUGCAGGGGACAGUUUCUUAGAGCAAUUGACCAAGAACUUGGCACCAGGGAGGAGAACUUUACUGAUUCCAGAGUCAGAAGACAUGGAUGGAUGAUCUGUUUACAUAUUACUGAACAUUUUAUUUUCAAUAAUUUGCUAACAGUUUUGUAAUAAGCAUAUUUAUGCAUAAACUUUAUGAUAAGGAUUAUUUCCUUGGAAAAAGGCCCAAGAAGGGUUAUAUACUAGAAAGUAUUUUGAGAUUAUUUAUUUAAUUACCAGGAGAGUACUGAUUUCCUCCUAGCCAUUACUUCUUGCCAUAAAUAAAAUAUUACUCAAUGGCUCCUCAAAAUCUUCAGGGAUCCGGGCUACAUUUAUUUUUCUGCUUUGCCAUCUUUAUUUUUAGCUUGUGCCUUUCUGUCUCAUGACCACAAGAUGGCUGCUGUGCCUUCCAGGAUAUGGUAUCUCCGUUCCAGAUGGGGUGAAAGGUAGGGUUGAGGGCAAAGCUUAGUUUAUUACCCCAGGUAAGCCUUCCCCAAGGUCUUUUGCUUAUACCCUGUAUUAGUCCGUCCUUGCAUUGCUAUAAAGGCAUACCUGAGACUAGGUAAUUUAUAAAGAAAAGAGGUUUAAUUGACUCAUGGUUCUGCAGGCUAUACAGGCUUCUGCUUCUGGGGAGGCCUCUGGCAACUUACAAUCAUGGUGGAAGGUGAAGGACAAGCAAGCAUCUCUUACCUGGCAGGAGCAGGAGGAAGAGAGCGAAGAGGAAGGUGUCACACACUUUUAAACAACCAGAUCUCGCGGGAAUUCUAUCACAAGACAGCACUAGGGGGAUGGUGCUAGACCAUGAGAAACACUCCCAUUGUGUCUGGAAUUGGUGGGUUCUUGGUCUCACUGACUUCAAGAAUGAAGCCGCGGACCUUCGCGGUGAGUGUUACGGGUCUCAGAGAUGGUGUGUCCAGAAUUUGUUCCUUCUGAUGUUCGGACAUAUUCAGAGUUUCUUCCUUCUGGUGGGUUCCUGGUGGGUUUCUGGUCUCGCUGGCCUCAGGAGUGAACCUGCAGACCUUCCCGGUGAGUGUUACAGCUAAUAAGGGCAGUGGGGACCCAAAGAGUGACCAGCAGGAAGAUUCAUGGCAAAGAGCCAAAAAAAUCACAGCUUCCACACUGUGGAACAAGACCCCACUGGGUUGCCACAGCUGGUUCCGGCAGCCCGCAUUUAUUCCCUAAUCCGACCCCACCCACAUCCUGCUGAUUGGUCCAUUUUACAGAGCGCUGAUUGGUCCAUUUUACAGAGCGCUGAUUGGUCCAUUUUGACAGGGUACUGAUUGGUGCCUUUACAAACCUUUGGCUAGACACAAAAGUUCUCCAAGUCCCCACUAGAUGAGCUAGACACAGAGCACUGACUGGUGCGUUUACAAACCUUGAGCUAGACACAGGGUACUGGUUGGUGUGUUUACAUUCCUCUAGCUAGACAUAAAAGUUCUCCAAGUCCCCACUAGACUCAGGAGUCCAGCUGGCUUCACCUCGGGGAUCCCGC
rnacentral:lncRNA from 1 species